rnacentral:rRNA from 1 species
ACGUAGGAUGCAAGCGUUGUCCGGAUUUAUUGGGCGUAAAGAGUUCGUAGGUGGUUUGUUAAGUCUGAUGUUAAAGACUGGGGCUCAACCUCGGAAAUGCAUUGGAUACUGGCAGACUUGAGUGCAGUAGAGGCAAGCGGAAUUCCAGGUGUAGCGGUGAAAUGCGUAGAUAUCUGGAAGAACACCGGUGGCGCAAGCGGCUUGCUGGGCUGUAACUGACGCUGAGGAACGAAAGCUAGGGGAGCGAAUGGGA